UAAUAAAUCCAAUAAGAAUAAGAUGGAACUGAAGAGAUUAUGAUA
rnacentral:guide_RNA from 1 species